rnacentral:rRNA from 1 species
UACAGAGGUGGCAAGCGUUGUUCGGAAUUACUGGGCGUAAAGGGCGCGUAGGCGGUUCGUUAAGUCCUGUGUGAAAUCCCCCGGCUCAACUGGGGAACUGCACAGGAAACUAGCGGGCUUGAGUUCGGGAGAGGGAAGCGGAAUUCCGGGUGUAGCGGUGAAAUGCGUAGAUAUCAGGAGGAACACCUGUGGUGUAGACAGCUUACUGGACCAUAACUGACGCUGAGGCACGAAAGCGUGGGUAGCAAACAGG